ACAGUUUGUAAAAUCCGUUCUCUCCUUCCUCUGUGUGGGUUGUGAAGGUGAGACUCAAGUUGUCAACCUUGGUGGCAAAUGCCUUUACCCACUGAGCCAUUUGCUUGGCCCCCUCAGUAAAUGGUCUUAUCUAUCACUCCUUAAACAGCCAGAUAGAAGAUUCAGAUCAUUUAGGCUCUCAAUGAGUACUGGGCCUUUGCUGCUGAUUGUUUUUUAUGAUGAAAACGUAAUUGGAAUCGAACCAAUUCCAAUUCUUAAAACUGUCAGAAAGGUCAACAAGAAGGCAAUUUUUAUGGUCAACCAUAUAUAGAAUAAUUUGAGGUUUGAAUCUCUAUCCCUCCAGAAAUGUCUGAAAUAGUUCCGUGUCUUGCUGUCCUCUGUGUGAAAUGUGCUGCUGUAGAGGGAUGCCAGACAGAGAAUGACUUUCUGAACAGUUCCACUUUAUCUGUAAUCGAGCACAUUGAUGAAAGGCAGGAGAGCCACAUUUAACUGGAGUACACAUUAACAAGGAGAGGUCCGGUAACUUAGUAUCUGCCCAUGUUUGGUGUUUAGAACCUUAAAAUUAACAUGCAGCUCUUACCAUAAUUUUGAGUGCCGCUGGGACUGUAUAGUCCAUGGCAUUUAGGAGUAGGACAAGACCAAGGAUGGACAUGAGAAGUUCUCUGAGUCAUACACUCUAACUUCUAACAUAUGCACAUGUGUUUCUCAUAGAA
rnacentral:lncRNA from 1 species